UGGGGAAUCUUGCACAAUGGGCGAAAGCCUGAUGCAGCGACGCCGCGUGCGGGAUGAAGGCCUUCGGGUUGUAAACCGCUUUCAGCAGGGACGAGGCCGCAAGGUGACGGUACCUGCAGAAGAAGCCCCGGCUAACUACGUGCCAGCAGCCGCGGUAAUACGUAGGGGGCAAGCGUUAUCCGGAUUCAUUGGGCGUAAAGCGCGCGUAGGCGGUUUGUUAGGUCAGGAGUUAAAUCUGGGGGCUCAACCCCUAUCCGCUCCUGAUACCGGCAGGCUUGAGUCUGGUAGGGGAAGGCGGAAUUCCAAGUGUAGCGGUGACAUGCGCAGAUAUUUGGAAGAACACCGGUGGCGAAGGCGGCCUUCUGGGCCACGACUGACGCUGGGGCGCGAAAGCUAGGGGAGCGAACAGG
rnacentral:rRNA from 1 species